rnacentral:rRNA from 1 species
AUGGAGUUCUUGUCGCAGAUGUGGUCGCUCCUGGGCCUCCUCACCAUCCUGCAGAACGUCCUCCCCACGCAGCUCCUCUCCCUCCUCCACUCGCUCUGGCAGUCGCUCCAGGACUCGCUCACGCCCUACUCCUACUUCGACGUGCCCGAGUUCCUCGGCUCCGCCGCCGUCGAGCCCAACGCGCUCUACCGCCACGUCCAGCUCUACCUCCACCGCUCCCUUCUCCUCUCCUCCCCUUCGCCUCCCCGCCUCACGCUCUCGCUGCCGCGCUCCGUCGCGGGCAAUGCCGGCGCGGCCGCCGCGUCGCCGUCCGUGUCGCUGUCCCCGAACCACUCGGUGCCCGACGCCUUCAACGGCCACCGCGCCGUGUGGACGCACCACGCCGACACGCUCCAGGACUCGCUCGAGGAGCGCCGGUCCUUCUCGCUGCGCCUCCCCAAGAGGCACGCCGCGGCGGUGCUCCCGGCGUACCUGGCGCACCUCGCCGCCGCCGCGGACAGCCUGGAGCGCUCGUCGCGGGCGAGGAGGCUGCACACCAACGCCGCGUCUCCGCGCGGCUCGGCGUCGUGGUCGUCGGUGCCGUUCUGCCACCCGUCCACGUUCGAGACGCUCGCGCUGGACCCGGACCUCAAGGCGCGCCUCCUGGCCGACCUCACGGCGUUCGCCGACGGGAGGGAGUUCUACCGCCGGACUGGGAGGCCGUGGAAGCGCGGGUACCUCCUCCACGGCCCGCCUGGCUCCGGCAAGUCUUCGCUGAUCGCCGCCAUGGCGAACCACCUCCGGUACGACGUGUUCGACCUCGAGCUCACCCGCGUCACCACCAACGCCGACCUCCGCGCGCUCCUCAUCCAGACGACCAACCGCUCGCUCAUUGUCAUCGAGGACAUCGACUGCUCCCUCCACCUCACCGGCGACCGCGGCCUGGCCUCCACGAGGCGGCACAAGAGACGCCGCGCGGCCGCCUCCGAUGACUCGUCCGACUCGGACGACGACGUCAUGGGCGCCGACAACCACCGGGGGAAGGUGACCCUCUCCGGGCUGCUCAACUUCACCGACGGCCUGUGGUCGUGCUGCGGCGAGGAGCGCAUCAUCGUGUUCACGACGAACCACGUGGACGGCAUCGACCCGGCGCUGCUGCGGCCGGGGAGGAUGGACGUGCACGUGCGCCUGGGCCCGUGCGGCGCGCACGCUAUGCGCGAGCUGGUGGAGCGGUACGUGGGCGCCGGCGUCGGCGACCAGGACAUGCUCGACGCGGCGGAGGGCUGCAUACGGGAGGGCGCGGAGAUGACGCCGGCCGAGGUGGGCGAAGUGCUGCUGAGGAACAGAGACGAGCCGGAGACGGCGGUGACGGAGCUGGCGGGCGAGCUGAAGGCCAGGGUGAACGCGGCCGACGAUCUCCAGUGGGAGGACUCGGCGGCGGAGCUCUCCGACGAGUCGCCGACGAAGAAAGGCAGGAAGGGGUUCGGCGGGUGGGAGGGCAAGGUCAGGAUCUUGGGGAGGCUUCGGAGCCUCACCAAGUCGGACUCCGGCCGGAGAGGCGUGUAG